AUGAGAUUCGGCCUAGGUCCAACAAAUUCAACACAUGAGUCCAAAAUCCUCUCUGAUCAAACUCAUCAAAACACCAUCGUCAACCUCAUUAUUUACCACCAUCAACUUCGUCCAACUCUCUUCUAUCACUGCGGACCACAAAUUAGGGACUCUGCACCUCCAGCUAUGAUUGCAACACCUUAUCGAUCAGAGUCCGUCCGAUGCGGCUCCAACAAUAGUGAUGAUCAGAGAAUAGCCUUCAAACGCUCAGAUGAUGAAGCGACUUACAGAGAGAUUGCAUAG